rnacentral:rRNA from 1 species
AUUGAACGCUGGCGGCAGGCCUAACACAUGCAAGUCGAACGAGUGGCGGACGGGUGAGUAAUGUCUGGGAAACUGCCCGAUGGAGGGGGAUAACUACUGGAAACGGUAGCUAAUACCGCAUACCCUCGGAUGUGCCCAGAUGGGAUUAGCUUGUAGGUGAGGUAACGGCUCACCUAGGCGACGAUCCCUAGCUGGUCUGAGAGGAUGACCAGCAAAACUGGAACUGAGACACGGUCCAUAAUCCUACGGGGGGUAGCAGUGGGGAAUAUUGAACAAUGGGUGAAAGCCUGAUGCAGACAGGCCGGGUGUAUGAAGAAGGCCUUCGGGGUGUAAAGUACUGUCAGCGGGGAGGCGUUACCCGCAGAAGAAGCACCGGCUAACGCCGUGCCAGCAGCCGCGGUAAUAC